rnacentral:rRNA from 1 species
GACGAACGCUGGCGGCGUGCCUAAUACAUGCAAGUAGAACGCUGAAGGAGGAGCUUGCUUCUCUGGAUGAGUUGCGAACGGGUGAGUAACGCGUAGGUAACCUGCCUGGUAGCGGGGGAUAACUAUUGGAAACGAUAGCUAAUACCGCAUAAGAGUAGAUGUUGCAUGACAUUUGCUUAAAAGGUGCAAUUGCAUCACUACCAGAUGGACCUGCGUUGUAUUAGCUAGUUGGUGGGGUAACGGCUCACCAAGGCGACGAUACAUAGCCGACCUGAGAGGGUGAUCGGCCACACUGGGACUGAGACACGGCCCAGACGCCUACGGGAGGCAGCAGGAGGGAAUCUUCGGCAAUGGACGGAAGUCUGAACGAGCAACGCCGCGUGAGUGAAGAAGGGUUUCGGAUCGUAAAGAUCGGUUGUAAGAGAAGAACGAGUGUGAGAGUGGAAAGUUCACACUGUGACGGUAUCUUACCAGAAAGGGACGGCUAACUACGUG